rnacentral:rRNA from 1 species
GUCUACCGCCAUUCCACCCUGAAUGUGCCUGAUCUUAUCUGAUCUCAGGAAGCUAAGCAGGGUUGGGGCUGGUUAGUAUUGGAUGGGAGACCAGGUCUCGCUCUGUUUCCCAGGCU